rnacentral:rRNA from 1 species
AGAGUUUGAUCCUGGCUCAGAUUGAACGCUGGCGGCAGGCUUAACACAUGCAAGUCGAGCGGGGUGAUGUAGCUUGCUACAUUACCUAGCGGCGGACGGGUGAGUAAUGCUUAGGAAUCUGCCUAUUAGUGGGGGACAACAUUCCGAAAGGAAUGCUAAUACCGCAUACGCCCUACGGGGGAAAGCAGGGGAUCUUCGGACCUUGCGCUAAUAGAUGAGCCUAAGUCAGAUUAGCUAGUUGGUGGGGUAAAGGCCUACCAAGGCGACGAUCUGUAGCGGGUCUGAGAGGAUGAUCCGCCACACUGGGACUGAGACACGGCCCAGACUCCUACGGGAGGCAGCAGUGGGGAAUAUUGGACAAUGGGCGAAAGCCUGAUCCAGCCAUGCCGCGUGUGUGAAGAAGGCCUUUUGGUUGUAAAGCACUUUAAGCGAGGAGGAGGCUACUUGGAUUAAUACUCUAGGAUAGUGGACGUUACUCGCAGAAUAAGCACCGGCUAACUCUGUGCCAGCAGCCGCGGUAAUACAGAGGGUGCGAGCGUUAAUCGGAUUUACUGGGCGUAAAGCGUGCGUAGGCGGCUUUUUAAGUCGGAUGUGAAAUCCCUGAGCUUAACUUAGGAAUUGCAUUCGAUACUGGGAAGCUAGAGUAUGGGAGAGGAUGGUAGAAUUCCAGGUGUAGCGGUGAAAUGCGUAGAGAUCUGGAGGAAUACCGAUGGCGAAGGCAGCCAUCUGGCCUAAUACUUACGCUGAGGUACGAAAGCAUGGGGAGCAAACAGGAUUAGAUACCCUGGCAGUC